rnacentral:rRNA from 2 species
GAUGAACGCUGGCGGCGCGCCUAACACAUGCAAGUCGAACGGUUAAAGCACCUUUUAGGUGUGUAUAAAGUGGCGAACGGCUGAGUAACACGUGGGCAACCUGCCCUCCUCUUGGGGAUAGCCUCGGGAAACCGAGGAUAAUACCCGAUACUUCAAUGUGGCCGCAUGACGACAUUGAGAAAGCUUUUGCGGAGAAGGAUGGGCCCGCGGCCUGUUAGCUUGUUGGUGGGGUAGAGGCCUACCAAGGCAAUGAUGGGUAGCUGGGUUGAGAGACCGACCAGCCAGAUUGGGACUGAGACACGGCCCAGACUCCUACGGGAGGCAGCAGUGGGGAAUCUUGCACAAUGGGCGAAAGCCUGAUGCAGCGACGCCGCGUGCGGGACGAAGGCCUUCGGGUUGUAAACCGCUUUCAGCAGGGACGAGGCGAAAGUGACGUACCUGCAGAAGAAGCCCCGCU